AACGAACGCUGGCGGCAUGCCUAACACAUGCAAGUCCAACGAGACCUUCGGGUCUAGUGGCGCACGGGUGCGUAACGCGUGGGAACCUGCCCUUAGGUUCGGAAUAACUCCCCGAAAGGGGUGCUAAUACCGGAUAAUGUCUUCGGACCAAAGAUUUAUCGCCUUUGGAUGGGCCCGCGUUGGAUUAGCUAGUUGGUAGGGUAAAAGCCUACCAAGGCGACGAUCCAUAGCUGGUCUGAGAGGAUGAUCAGCCACACUGGGACUGAGACACGGCCCAGACUCCUACGGGAGGCAGCAGUGGGGAAUAUUGGACAAUGGGCGAAAGCCUGAUCCAGCAAUGCCGCGUGAGUGAUGAAGGCCUUAGGGUUGUAAAGCUCUUUUACCCGGGAUGAUAAUGACAGUACCGGGAGAAUAAGCGCCGGCUAACUCCGUG
rnacentral:rRNA from 1 species